rnacentral:rRNA from 1 species
UACGGGGGGAGCAAGCGUUGUUCGGAUUUACUGGGCGUAAAGGGCGCGUAGGCGGCGCAACAAGUCACUUGUGAAAUCUCCGGGCUUAACCCGGAGCGGCCAAGUGAUACUGUCGUGCUAGAGUGCGGAGGGGGCUACUGGAAUUCUCGGUGUAGCGGUGAAAUGCGUAGAUAUCGAGAGGAACACCUGCGGCGAAGGCGGGUAGCUGGGCCGACACUGACGCUGAUGCGCGAAAGCCAGGGGAGCGAACGGG